GAGCUGGGGUAGGAGCAGUAGUUGGUAGACCUAAACCAAAUAGAUCAUCAAAUGGGGAGCUCGACUGUGGAGCAGGACCGGGUACGGAAGGAUUUGAUACUCCAAAUUGUAAUGGCGCUUGAGGAACGAGAGAUCCAAUAGAGCCUUCAUAUGAAGGAGCGCUAUAUGCAGAACCAUUGUUACUAACGACUCUAGUUUCCUCUUCCACUGAGGUGCUUAGAAGUAGAUCCUUAUCAUUUGCCUCAACUUGCUGAGCUGGAACAACAGUAUCUGCAGACUCUGCACCAAUAGAUAAAUUUCCAAGUUCGUCCGAGAACUCAAAUGGACCACGGUGUUCCUUGUCAGUGAACAUGUAA
rnacentral:misc_RNA from 1 species